UGGAGCAGGCUGUGCCUAACAUCCUGUGCACAUAUACUUAAAGUAGAUCUGAGUAGGAGGUCACCUCAAAGCAUGUCACAAGAACCCUGAGGAUGAAACAGUGCCUUUUGCUGAGGGCCAGUACGACAGGCACUGUUGAAAUUUUCAAAAUAGGGCUUACCAUAAAUCAGUACAAUCUGUAGGAUUUGUGUUUCUUCUGUCCACUAAUAGUUGCUCUUUAGAGCUCUUUCAUUUUGUCAUUAACAUUAGCCAGUUUUGAAAUUGUUCCCAAGUUAAUUUUAAAAACAUUGCUAGCACUCUAGAUAAUGAAUCUAGUUGACACAAUUUUUUUUAAUUUGUACGGUUGUAUAACAGAAUCUUAUAUAAAGAUUAUGUUCCCAUUGUAGUAAACUAUUCUGUGAUCAAAUAGUAA